CCUACGGGAGGCAGCAGUGGGGAAUAUUGCACAAUGGGGGAAACCCUGAUGCAGCGACGCCGCGUGAGGGAAGAAGUAUUUCGGUAUGUAAAGCUCUAUCAGCAGGGAAGAAAAUGACAGUACCUGACCAAGAAGCCCCGGCUAACUACGUGCCAGCAGCCGCGGUAAUACGUAGGGGGCAAGCGUUAUCCGGAUUUACUGGGUGUAAAGGGAGCGUAGACGGUUAUGCAAGUCUGGAGUGAAAGCCCGGGGCCGAACCCCGGGACUGCUUUGGAAACUGUGUAACUGGAGUGCAGGAGGGGCAGGCGGAAUGCCUGGUGUAGCGGUGAAAUGCGUAGAUAUCAGGAGGAACACCGGCGGCGAAGGCGGCCUGCUGGACUGAAACUGACGUUGAGGCUCGAAAGCGUGGGGAGCAAACAGGAUUAGAUACCCUUGUAGUC
rnacentral:rRNA from 1 species